rnacentral:rRNA from 1 species
GAGGGAAAGGUGAAAAGAACCCUGAAUAAGGGAGUGAAAUAGAACCUGAAACCAUACGCUUACAAGCGGUCGGAGCAGACUUGAUCUGUGACGGCGUGCCUUUUGCAUAAUGAGCCUACGAGUUACCGUUGCUAGCAAGGUUAAGGACUUCAGGUCCGGAUCCGUAGCGAAAGCGAGUCUGAAUAGGGCGUUUUAGUUAGUAGUGGUAGACGCGAAACCGUGUGAUCUACCCAUGGGCAGGGUGAAGCUGUAGUAACAUACAGUGGAGGCCCGAACCGAUAUACGUUGAAAAGUGUUCGGAUGACCUGUGGGUAGGGGUGAAAGGCCAAUCAAACUCGGAAAUAGCUCGUACUCCCCGAAAUGCAUUUAGGUGCAGCGUUGAUUUAUAGUUUUAUAGAGGUAGAGCUACUGAUUGGAUGCGGGGGCUUCACCGCCUACCAAUUCCUGACAAACUCCGAAUGCUAUAAAAUGUUAAUCAGCAGUGAGGGCAUGGGUGCUAAGGUCCAUGUCCGAGAGGGAAAGAACCCAGACCAUCAGCUAAGGUCCCAAAAUAUAUGUUAAGUUGAAUAAACGAGGUUGAACUGCUUAGACAGCUAGGAUGUUGGCUUGGAAGCAGCCAUUCAUUUAAAGAGUGCGUAACAGCUCACUAGUCGAGCGGUUCGGCAUGGAUAAUAAUCGGGCAUAAACAUAUUACCGAAGCUAUGGACUUGAAAAAGUGGUAGGGGAGCAUUGUAGUGUCGUCGAAGGUGUACUGCGAGGUAUGCUGGAGAAGCUACAAAAGAAAAUGUAGGCAUAAGUAACGAUAAUGCGGGCGAGAAACCCGCACACCGAAAGACUAAGGUUUCCUCAGCUAUGCUAAUCAGCUGAGGGUUAGUCGGGACCUAACGCGAACCCGAAAGGGGUAGUGGAUGGACAACAGAUUAAUAUUUCUGUACCUGCUCACACUAAAAGUGACGGAGGCGAAAAGUUAGUGCGUACUGACGGAAUAGUACGUUGAAGCGAGUGGUAACACCGCGAUAGUACACUGAGACUACGGUCAAGGUGAUAAUCUAGCAAAUCGACUUCCAAGAAAAGCGAGUGAAGCAGCCCGUACCCUAAACCGACACAGGUAGUUGGGAUGAGAAUUCUAAGGUGCUCGAGAGAUUCAUGGCUAAGGAACUAGGCAAAAUAGACCCGUAACUUCGGGAGAAGGGUCGCCUCCAAGCAAUUGGAGGCCGCAGUGAAAAGGUCCAGGCGACUGUUUAUCAAAAACACAGGGCUCUGCUAAAUCGAAAGAUGAUGUAUAGGGCCUGACACCUGCCCGGUGCUGGAAGGUUAAGUGGAGGGUUUAGAAGUUUACUUCGAAGAUCUCAAAUGAAGCCCCAGUAAACGGCGGCCGUAACAAUAACGGUCCUAAGGUAGCGAAAUUCCUUGUCGGGUAAGUUCCGACCCGCACGAAAGGUGUAACGAUCUGCGUACUGUCUCGGAGAGAGACUCGGCGAAAUAGACUUGUCUGUGAAGAUGCGGACUACCUGCACCUGGACAAAAAGACCCUAUGAAGCUUUACUGUAGCUUGAGAUUGGCUCCGGGCUUUAUUUGCGCAGGAUAGGUGGGAGGCGUUGAAAAUUUCCUUGCGGGGGAAUUUGAGCCAUUGGUGAGAUACCACUCUAAUAAAGCUAGGAUUCUAACCCUAUACCGUUAUCCGGUUAGGGAACAGUCUCAGGUGGUCAGUUUGACUGGGGCGGUCGCCUCCUAAAAGGUAACGGAGGCGUGCAAAGGUUUCCUCAGACUGGUCGGAAAUCAGUCGAAGAGUGUAAAGGCAUAAGGAAGCUUGAUUGUGAGACCUACAAGUCGAACAAAGACGAAAGUCGGCCUUAGUGAUCCGGCGGUACCAAGUGGAAGGGCCGUCGCUCAACGGAUAAAAGUUACUC